CUUGGCAUGGGUGCUAGCUUAGGUCCCUUCUACUACUACUCCACUUAGUAACUUGUCUGUAUUCUAUUACUUUGUACCUAUGUGUGUGAGCUGUGUUGUAUUCAUCUUCCUCAAGUACUACAACACUGGUAGUUGUACACAUAUGAUGGUGAUUCGCUCCGGCCAUUCCAGUUUUGGCGGUGGUGGUGCUGCUGCUCCUAUGAUGGUAGACUCGUCUGAUUCCCCUAGCUGCAUCCAUGGUGAUGAAGCUCGGCCUAGGCUAGAACCCCCUCCAAUUUACUUAAGAUCACGGAAGUUUGGGUUGAUGGAGUGCUUGUAUUUAGUUUUUGUUUUGACCUUGUGAAACUUGCUACCUAUGGAUGAAACUGUGUAAUAUUGAUGAAACUAUGUAUAUGUACGGAUGAAACUUGCUACUA